rnacentral:lncRNA from 1 species
UUUUGGGGGUAUUUUUGAAAGAAAAAUCAGAAACCAGAUGUCAAAACGUAAUUUAGAAAAGUUGUGCCAUGUCAGCUGCCCGGUCAGCAACUCCGGCCAACAGGACGCGCAAGGUGGCAGAGACAUUGACGCGGGAGAGAGCCACGUGGGCGAUCCGCGUGCGCGUGAUCGAACGACUGAGAUCCGUUUUCCGCGCGCACGAAUGAUCUAGAUCAAAAACGCGCACGGACAGCCCAGAUUGCAUCGCGCACCGACGGUCCAAAUUGAAUCGCGCACAGACAGCCCAGAUUGAAUCGCGAU